AUGGUCAGAUGGACCCAAAAUCCAAAAACUAGUUCAGUCAACUGUUCAAAGGUAGAUCAGAAUAAAUCAUGCUAUAUAUUGAUUUUCAGUACUUUACAUGGGAACACUUUUUGUUGUAACCUUACAUUGAAGGUGGCUAUUGAUUUUGCAGGCAGAGCAGAAAGGAAGCUCUGUGGGUAGGCCUCUCUGAAGUCACUCAUCUUCAGGUAUCAUACAACUAUAUAUUUGAGUCAAAAUGGAAUUAACUCAGCAUUCAAUUGCUUCCGCAUAUAUAUACUUGAUGAAUCAGUAAGAAAUAUUAUUGCAAGCCCAAAGAAAAACAGUACCUACAUAUUUGCUCUUUCCUGUAAUAUGGGGUAUAUAAAAUUACUGCAAAUAAAGGAGGAAAACCACUUUUGUAUAUCUGUCAUGCAUUUCUGUAGCAUGUGUUCUAUCUUUUUUUUGCCCCUGCAUGUCUUAGUUUUUGUUUAGCAUGACUUCUGCCUUUGCUUCACUCAGAAACUUCUUGGUUGCAAAGCUUAUGAUUGGCUGUUAUACUUCCUAAAAAAAAUUAUUGUAUAAAGAUGGGAGGUUUGAAGCUUGUUUAAGUUGUCUUUUUUAAAUGUAACCUUUCUUUUAAUUUUCAAAUGAAAUAUAAACAUAACUUAUGGGGAAAAAGUACUUUAUCUCUGCAACAAAUCUUGACUAAACUUCUUUAUGAGGCUGGAAGGUGGAAACUAAUAAAGAUUAAAUUUGCAAAUAGACUCUCUCUCUCUUUCUAUCUCUCUUUGUGGAGUUGGAUAUCAAAUACUUUGAUCUUGGUCUCCUUAAUUGUGAUGCCAUCAACAAUAGAGUUAUAAUUGAAAAUGCUUAAGCCACUCUUACGUGUGUCUACUAUCUUUUACCUCUUAGCUUCUUGUUCAUAACAUUGUUUCUAUUGGUAUAUUAUACAUGCAGCCAAUGGCUAUCAAACUCACAACAUUACCCUCCACAUAUUUUUUCUGUAAUUCUUUAGUCUACUUUGUGCAUGAAGUAGUUUUUUUUUUUUUUUUGGUUAAUAUAAUCACUCUUACCUAUAAGGAAAAAAAAAUGAUUACCAUCUUCAAGAAAAUGUGGCUUGUUGCUGUGUCCAUUAAUGCUGGUUUUCUUUUUGAACAAUGUAUUAGAGCUGUCGCAAGGAAAGAGGUUGUAAUUGCUUGUCCUUAUUUUUGUUAUUUAAAUAGCAUGCUUGUACGGUUGUUAAAUGCUGUGUCUUGUUGUCAAAUUAUGUGGAGGCUACUUAGAUAAUUUAUAAACAGAAUUUAGGGGUAUGACAGAAUUCAAAUUUAAAUAAAAUAAAAUUCAUUGUUUGGGUGUGCUGUACGAAGAAACUCUAAAUUCUGUAUAGAAUUUUAGCCAGAAAUUCAGUUCUUAAAUUUCGAUUUACAAAUUCUGCCUAUUCAGUUGUUAUUUCUAAACUCCUCCACAUUUCUUGCUCACUUGCUCGUUAGUCAAUACCUCCUUCCCAUCUCCAUGGCCACUACUAGCUUGUCUCCAGCUCCCACGUCAUCACCUGCUGUAAAUACUCUGGCUCCUCUGACCUUGGCCAAAUUGUCACUGACUGAAAUAGUCCUUGCUAUGCCACAACCUUGAUCAAAGUCAGCACCACUAGAUUCACUACCUUAGUCGUCUUUGUGGAAACUUUGUUGUUCCAGAUCCCAUCGGAGCUAUGUUUCUCUUUCUCUCCUCAACUUUUCCAACAUCAUCCCAGAUUUGUUACGGUUUUGUUCCUCACUUCAAUUAAUUGCACCAAAAUCACCCAAAUUUGCCCUUUUGAUGGGCUUUUCAGUUUAAUAUCCUCAAUUCAAUUUGGGCAAACUUUGAUUGAGCUUGACAUGAAUUGAAGAUUAAUUCUUAAGCUUUCACCAUUAAAAUCCACAUAAAACAAUGUGGAUUUCUACACCAAAUCUUGCUGAUAUCAUUCCAUCAAAUAUUUUAUUUUCACUCCGAAGGUGUCUUGACUGUGGCAAUGUCAUUUAAGUGCCAAUUUUUCUCAAUGCAAGCGCCCAAAUAGUACAUUCAUUUUCCAGUAUAUUUUAGAGCAGUGAGAUUCGAGAUUCUGUGGUUUGGCCCUUAAUUAUCAAGGCAGCUAGCAGCUUUCCUGUAACAUACCCUGUUGCACUGUUCUGCUACAAAAAUAUAAAUAAUUUUCACCAAAACAUGGCCACAUAAUAUUUUUAUUCAGAGCAAUAAGUGUUUGAUGGGAUUCAGGGUCCCCCUCCUCUCUUAUAAAUUUGAUAAAGUAGAGCAAUAACUGAUUGAGGAAUUUCAGAAUUUUUUAAACAAGGAAUUUUACGUAGAUAUUGGUACUAUUUCCUUGUAUUUAUAUAUGAUAACGAAACAAUGAAAUUGAUAAAUGAUGGGGUUUAAACCCCCAUUCUUUUUUCUGUGCAAAUAUAAAUUCUUUACCCAAAUCCAUGGUAAUGGUUUUUUGCUUUUUUUUUUUUUGGUUAUUUGCUCCAGAUUUUUAUUUGAUGAAAGAGGUCACUGUGCUUUCCAUUUACACCAGGUACUCUUUUCAAAGAACCAAAUAUCUGCAAAAACAUCCCCCAUCUUGAAAGAGGUUUGUAAUGUUUUCUUGACUUGGUUUGUAACAUUAAAAAGCCAAGGGCCCAGAUUAACUUGGUUUUCUUUCUCAGGUUGGACUGAGCCUAUGUACAUUAAAUGUCAUGCUUUUGGUGAUCAGUACAGGGCAACUGAUACAGUUAUUCCAGGAUCCAGGAAACUUAAAUUGGGAUUUGGUAAAAUCCUCUCCCUGUUGACAGCUUUUCAAUGAUCUUAUUAGGGUAUAUUUGGAUACCGUUUAUUACUGAAAACUGAAAACAUUGUAGCAAAAUAAUUUUUAAAUGUGUGAAUAGUGCUGUGAGACCGUUUUAACUUAAUUUUUGAUGUUUUCCGUACUUGCGGGUCCCGUGAACAGUGCACGGGACCCACAGAAAAAAUGCCAGUCGCAAAUUUUUUUCCUUUUCAGUGCAAUCCAAACUCAACCUUAGUUUCGCUUUUUAUAGAGACUUGUUACGGCUUUAGUCUUUUCAGUUCUAUAUUUCUGUCAAUGCCUUCAUAUUUAGUCAUCCUAUUAAGGGAAACUGGAAUAUCUGCAGUGCUGGAUAAACAUGAUGAGAAGAAAGAGUUAGAGUUUUUCAACUUUACUGGUGCUGGAGGUGUAGCCUUGUCCAUGUAUAACACUGAUGAGGUUCAGAUCUCACAAAUGCUAUUCUUUUUCCUUUGUUUCUUUUAUACUUGGUGCCUGACCUGAAUUUGACUUGCUAGAAGAGUGUUUUUAGCGUUAUUAUUAUUUAUUUAUUUAUUUUAAUUUUUUUGAAAACAGUUCAUUCAUGCUUUUACUGAGGCUUCAAUGAAUACUGCUUACCAGAAAAGGUGGCUACUUUAUCUUAAUACUGUUCUUAAGAAACAUGAUGGAAGGUAUGCUGUUACCUUGUUAGACUUUCUUUUUUAUUCUAAUUCUGCCCAAUUUUGUUCCAACUGAAUUAUUAAAAACUCUCUUUUACCUUAAUAUGAGGCAUGACCUUUUUUCUUCUAUGUGGAACUUUAGUGCCUGUCUUACUAAUUAUGUAUUGAGAGGCAUGACCUUUUUUCUUCUAUGUGGACCUUUAGGGUCUGCCUUACUUAUUAUGUAUUGCCAGUUUCUUAUCAUGUGAAUUUCAUGAAGAUUCAUGGACAUAUUUCAGGAAGUCCAUGAAACUCAAUGGAAAUCUAAGUUUGAUGCUGCAGGGAUAUGGUGAGAUAUCCAGUUCAUCAUGCUAAUUACUUUAUGAAGUUUGAGUAGUUUGUCAUCAACUUUUGUGGUUGAAUUGCUAGGUAUGAAUACUGCCUCUGAUAAUAUGGUAGCUUAGGUUCUUAACGUGAAGGAGGUUAUGUGGACUUGCAGAAACUAUGAUCGCAAUGUGCAGAGUGAUAGUUUCACCCAAUGUUUGUAUCAAUGCGGGAAUUGUAUGAAAAGUUUCUUUCUCUUGGAGUGUCCUAACUGAGUGUUAAGUUAUUCAUCUAGUUUACGAUAAAAACUCUUGCCAUUGGUACAGGAUUUGGAUCUCUUGGGCUGGUGACAUCAGUGCUGGUAUGUUUUGCUGUUCUCAUUUUUAUUUUUCCUGGUAUUUUUUUUAAAGCCUUUCUUUUUGGUCCAUUUUUCACUUCUAAUACAUGUGAAGUAUUUUCAACUUUACUGGUGCUGGAGGUGUAGCCUUGUCCAUGUAUAACACUGAUGAGGUUCAGAUCUCACAAAUGCUAUUCUUUUUCCUUUGUUUCUUUUAUACUUGGUGCCUGACCUGAAUUUGACUUGCUAGAAGAGUGUUUUUAGCGUUAUUAUUAUUUAUUUAUUUAUUUUAAUUUUUUUGAAAACAGUUCAUUCAUGCUUUUACUGAGGCUUCAAUGAAUACUGCUUACCAGAAAAGGUGGCUACUUUAUCUUAAUACUGUUCUUAAGAAACAUGAUGGAAGGUAUGCUGUUACCUUGUUAGACUUUCUUUUUUAUUCUAAUUCUGCCCAAUUUUGUUCCAACUGAAUUAUUAAAAACUCUCUUUUACCUUAAUAUGAGGCAUGACCUUUUUUCUUCUAUGUGGAACUUUAGUGCCUGUCUUACUAAUUAUGUAUUGAGAGGCAUGACCUUUUUUCUUCUAUGUGGACCUUUAGGGUCUGCCUUACUUAUUAUGUAUUGCCAGUUUCUUAUCAUGUGAAUUUCAUGAAGAUUCAUGGACAUAUUUCAGGAAGUCCAUGAAACUCAAUGGAAAUCUAAGUUUGAUGCUGCAGGGAUAUGGUGAGAUAUCCAGUUCAUCAUGCUAAUUACUUUAUGAAGUUUGAGUAGUUUGUCAUCAACUUUUGUGGUUGAAUUGCUAGGUAUGAAUACUGCCUCUGAUAAUAUGGUAGCUUAGGUUCUUAACGUGAAGGAGGUUAUGUGGACUUGCAGAAACUAUGAUCGCAAUGUGCAGAGUGAUAGUUUCACCCAAUGUUUGUAUCAAUGCGGGAAUUGUAUGAAAAGUUUCUUUCUCUUGGAGUGUCCUAACUGAGUGUUAAGUUAUUCAUCUAGUUUACGAUAAAAACUCUUGCCAUUGGUACAGGAUUUGGAUCUCUUGGGCUGGUGACAUCAGUGCUGGUAUGUUUUGCUGUUCUCAUUUUUAUUUUUCCUGGUAUUUUUUUUAAAGCCUUUCUUUUUGGUCCAUUUUUCACUUCUAAUACAUGUGAAGUUGGACUUGGGUUUCAGGGGUGUGCCUAGAUAGAAAGACAAUCAAACCUGAAGCAGCACAUGGGACAGUUACCACUAUUACUGGCUCCAUCAGAGAGGUGGUGAAACCAGCAUAAACAGCAUAGCAUCAAUAUUUGCUUGAACACAAGGUCUUGCACACAGGUAUCAGAUUAAUCUCUUCUUUUAUUGAUUAGUGUUGUAUAAUUUUAGUUUUGUGAAUUUGAAGUUUUAGGAAUUGGAUUUUUCAAAUUUUGGGUGACAACACAGAACUUUUGGAUUUACUGUGAAACUGGGAGCAGCAUGUGUUGGAACAAUCAAAUCAGGGAAGAUGACAAAGGAUCUUGACCUUCUUAUUCAUGGGCCCAAGUAA
rnacentral:sRNA from 1 species